rnacentral:tRNA from 1 species
GAUAACGCGCCGGUAUGAACGGAUAACUCUGAUGAUGUUAACUAUGAGGUUUACCUCCGUUAUCUC